rnacentral:rRNA from 1 species
GGGUUGUGAGGUUAAGCGACUAAGCGUACACGGUGGAUGCCCUGGCAGUCAGAGGCGAUGAAGGACGUGCUAAUCUGCGAUAAGCGUCGGUGAGGUGAUAUGAACCGUUAUAACCGGCGAUUUCCGAAUGGGGAAACCCAGUGUGUUUCGACACACUAUCAUUAACUGAAUCCAUAGGUUAAUGAGGCGAACCGGGGGAACUGAAACAUCUAAGUACCCCGAGGAAAAGAAAUCAACCGAGAUUCCCCCAGUAGCGGCGAGCGAACGGGGAGGAGCCCAGAGCCUGAAU